GAGGAUGAUGAUUUCAUAUGUCGCCCCAGUCUUAGGGUCCGCUUCGAGUGGAUCUGUGCUGAUUGACUUCUGAAUCUGACUU
rnacentral:snoRNA from 3 species